rnacentral:piRNA from 1 species
UCAACGAAGACGUGGCCAAGAAGAUGUGU